UGGAGUUUUUUUUUUUGUUUUUUUUUAAAUAGCACAUUAUUUUGCCAAAAAUAAAAUUUAAAAAAUACCCCCUAACAACCUUGUGUCCCAUCCAGUCACACUUGAUGGUACUCAAAAAAUUAUUUCAAGGUUGGCAGGUAUGCUUUCUUGAUUUGUUUAAACAGUCACUAGUUAUGAGUAUUUAAAGCUGUAUUUCUCCACACAUUUUUCUUCAAUGAAGAAUGAUGACUCCACAGAGAUCUACAGAUGUUUCUUCACAGCUAUCUUGUGGAACAUUAUAAGAUAAGGCAGGAGAGUGGGCUUACAUUUUGAUGGAAAGCAUCCAAAACAAUCUUGAAGAUGAUCUCAUUUCCCUUUGUAAUGACAUCUUGACUGGGAAGGUUGAUGAGAGUAUCUACCAUGGACAGACUCAGCUGCUGUCUCACUUGCUCAAAGUUUUAAUUCAAAGUGACACAACGCAAUGCGGAUCACUAACUGUCUUAGAAUUUAGUGAGGCAUUGAAGAAGGCUUUCCCUCUGAAGUCAGAUCAGGACAUAUAG
ensembl:lncRNA